CCUGGUUAGUGUUCUGAGGUAGGGCUACAUGGUAUAUACUGAACUCAACACAGCCCUGGUUAGUGUUCUGAGGUAGGGCUACAUGGUAUAUACUGAACUCAACACAGCCCUGGUUAGUGUUCUGAGGUAGGGCUACAUGGUAUAUACUGAACUCAACACAGCCCUGGUUAGUGUUCUGAGGUAGGGCUAUAGUGUGAAGCAGUGGCGAUUUUAGCAUGUAAAUCUUGGUGGGGCAAAAAAUAAACAUGUUUGAUGCAUGCCAGCAAAGCCACUACACAACACAACACUAAACAAUACAUUAAUUGCACACUAACGGUGACAAACGGUGCCCACAAACUGUUAGGGCCUGGAUAAAGCUGUCCCAACAUCUUACCACCACUACACAUGGCUUUCAGUAGAGCCUUGUCUGGCAGCGAAACAGUUCAUUCAGCCUCAUUUACUGCCUUUUAAAAAAACAUAGCUAAUAUGGCUGACUUGCUGAAACAAAUGUGGUUUCUACUGACAAUUGAGAUGUACAAACUAUGGCAUAAGCGGACGACGAGCGGAUGAGGCAAUCCGUAAUUUAGAUUUGGACAUAAAUGGUCGAGCUAGGAUGGAUAACUAUUUGUUUUGCGCGUUUGAAAUGUACAGCAACAUAAUUCAGAACAUGGGCCGUUCUUACUGUAUUCUCCCUGUACACCAAGUCAGAACCGUAGGAUAAAUAAAGGGGGUGUAUAAGCAGACAAUGAAAGCUCUUACGAUAUUCAAUGAUUACUUGUCUCUUAACCAGGCUAUAGGCUACAUGUGCACCAGCAAGUCAGAAGCGUAGGCUAAAUUAUGAGAGGGAAAGAAACCAGAUUAUUAGGGUGAAGCCCAUGGGCUACUAACAGCUUACAACACAACAUACACUUAGUAUUACUUUCUUGGCUACGUUAUACAUAUAUCCUUGGCAGAUACAGUUGAAGUUGAAAGUUUACGUACACUUAGGUUGUAGUCAUUAAAACUUGUUUUUCAACUACUCCACAAAUGUCUUGUUAACAAACUGUAGGACAUAUACUUUGUGCAUGGUAAAAGUAAUUUCUUACAUUAAUUGUUUACAGACAGAUUAUUUAACUUAUAAUUCACUGUAUCACA
ensembl:lncRNA